AUUGAACGCUGGCGGCAGGCCUAACACAUGCAAGUCGAGCGUGCGGCGGGCAGGUGAGUGUUGUCUGGGAACCUGCCUGCUGUCGGGGGGUAACUACUGGAAACGGUAGCUACUACUGCAUCCCCUCAACUUUUCCCCGAUGGGAUUAGCUGGUAGGGGGGGUAAUGGCUCACCUAGGCGACGAUCCCUAGCUGGUCUGAGAGGAUGACCAGCAAAACUGGAACUGAGACACGGUCCAGACUCCUACGGGAGGAAGCAGUGGGGAAUAUUGCACAAUGGGGGCAAGCCUGAGGCAGAAAGGCCGGGUGUGUGAAGAAGGCCUUCGGGUUGUAAAGCACGUUCAGCGGGGAGGCGUUACCCGAAGAAGAAGCACCGGCUAACUCCGUGCCAGCAGCCGCGGUAAUUC
rnacentral:rRNA from 1 species